GCCUAGUUAGCUUGAGUGGUAGAGCGUCUGCCUUGUAAGCGCUAGACCGCGGGUUCGAUUCUCGCCCGGGGCG
rnacentral:tRNA from 1 species